rnacentral:rRNA from 1 species
UGAGUAAUGCUUAGGAAUCUGCCUAUUAGUGGGGGACAACAUUCCGAAAGGAAUGCUAAUACCGCAUACGCCCUACGGGGGAAAGCAGGGGAUCUUCGGACCUUGCGCUAAUAGAUGAGCCUAAGUCAGAUUAGCUAGUUGGUGGGGUAAAGGCCUACCAAGGCGACGAUCUGUAGCGGGUCUGAGAGGAUGAUCCGCCACACUGGGACUGAGACACGGCCCAGACUCCUACGGGAGGCAGCAGUGGGGAAUAUUGGACAAUGGGCGAAAGCCUGAUCCAGCCAUGCCGCGUGUGUGAAGAAGGCCUUUUGGUUGUAAAGCACUUUAAGCGAGGAGGAGGCUACUUGGAUUAAUACUCUAGGAUAGUGGACGUUACUCGCAGAAUAAGCACCGGCUAACUCUGUGCCAGCAGCCGCGGUAAUACAGAGGGUGCGAGCGUUAAUCGGAUUUACUGGGCGUAAAGCGUGCGUAGGCGGCUUUUUAAGUCGGAUGUGAAAUCCCUGAGCUUAACUUAGGAAUUGCAUUCGAUACUGGGAAGCUAGAGUAUGGGAGAGGAUGGUAGAAUUCCAGGUGUAGCGGUGAAAUGCGUAGAGAUCUGGAGGAAUACCGAUGGCGAAGGCA